UCCCCACUAUUCGACAUGGAUACCUAAAAACAGAACAACCAACACCUAAUGCCGCUAUCAACUGACAGGUAGCUAAUGCUAAGCUAGCGGUUAAGUUGGCAACUUUAGCACAGUUUGGUACAGUGAAACAUAACUUAAUUGGACAAGGAAAAGAAGAGGCUUACCGAAGGUGACAACUCAGGAUAUAAACUUUGCCUAACGUUUAUGGUCAUAAUGUUUAUCGAUAACUAAAUAUUGCUGCUAUCCGAGGAAUGGCGCACAGCGGAGAGGAGGUUACCAGGGAGACGCCAGAGAAGGUGCACGAGGCAGUGACCUUCCUGCUAAAGAGGUCAAGGAUCCUUCGGACGUGUGCUUCUUCUCUCCAAAGGAACCAGACCACAGUGAGCGGCUGAGCCCUGCACUCCCGCGCUGCUGAGACUUCUUUCCGCCCCGGGUCUAUAUUGAUUGGCCACCAGCUGUGCCUGCUGUCUGCAGUCCCAUUGUGGUCAGAAACAACUGAACUUCGUCUAUAGAAGCAAAGGUGCGGUUUGGAGAGCAAAUGACCAAACUCAGGAAAAAGUGACUGAGCCACAUUGUAUUUGCUCCUCUCCACACACAGAAAAACAAGAAUGACUUUAAAUGAAGGCUAGGCCGCAAUUCAAGGGCAGGCUUUUUGGUUAAGGAGAAGCAGGGAGGAUAGACAUCACUAAGUUGGCCUGGACCGGUCUGAUCAGCACAGCAGCCCUUUCGAAGAAUGAGCCUCUGCCAAAAGCUGCCUCUGCCUAACCAAGUCUCCCACCAUCUGCAACAAAUGUGCUCUAUUAAAGCAGUACCAUAUGGACAACAAGCUAGCUAUUAACACGGCUUCAGCACAUCCCCUUAACCUAGCCCAGAUUUCAAACUUCCAGUCAAAUUGACUGCUGAUUUAAUGCACCGCCAGCAGCCAUGUGGGUCUUGGCACGAGACGGCACUCCCGGCCUUCAGUCAUUAACAGGCUCACGUAGCGCGCGGCGCACAGCGAGACACAGAAGUUAGCUACACAGAUCCUACAAGUAACUACAUCCCAGGUUACUUGUUAAAUCCUUUAACCAAACCCAUAUGAGAAAACGUAACAAUAUCCAGAGAGGAGGGUAGAGAGAGCAAGAGUCUGAUCCAGGAACUCCAGCCUUCUUAAGACAAGUAAACCCGGGCUCAAAACACUCUAUUGUACCGAGUGGAAACAAGCUUAUGAAGCACAUCUACCCACAGAGUGGCGGCCUAACUGGUGGCUUAUGUCUCAGUUCUUCCACAGUGAUGGAGAGUGCAUUUGCUGCCUCUGCAUGGAUCCAAAAUGGCAGUGAUUAACCCUGCAGGGUGUGAGGGGGGGUGGGCACUUUAAUCCCUGUGGGCCGGGUGGCCAUGUUGACGCCUCUCCCCUCUCUGAGUCAUGGGGGGACCCACCCACUGUUCACAAUGCCA